UACGUAGGUGACAAGCGUUGUCCGGAUUUACUGGGCGUAAAGGGCGCGUAGGCGGCCACCGCAAGUCGACUGUGAAAUCUCCGGGCUUAACCCGGAAAGGUCAGCCGAUACUGCGGGGCUAGAGUGCAGAAGGGGCAACUGGAAUUCUCGGUGUAGCGGUGAAAUGCGUAGAUAUCGAGAGGAACACCUGCGGCGAAGGCGGGUUGCUGGGCUGACACUGACGCUGAUGUGCGAAAGCUAGGGGAGCGAACGGG
rnacentral:rRNA from 1 species